rnacentral:rRNA from 1 species
GGCUCAGAGCGAACGCUGGCGGCAGGCCUAACACAUGCAAGUCGAACGAACUCUUCGGAGUUAGUGGCGGACGGGUGAGUAACACGUGGGAACGUGCCUUUUGGUUCGGAAUAACUCAGGGAAACUUGUGCUAAUACCGAAUGUGCCCUUCGGGGGAAAGAUUUAUCGCCAUUAGAGCGGCCCGCGUCUGAUUAGCUAGUUGGUGAGGUAAAAGCUCACCAAGGCGACGAUCAGUAGCUGGUCUGAGAGGAUGACCAGCCACACUGGGACUGAGACACGGCCCAGACUCCUACGGGAGGCAGC